rnacentral:rRNA from 1 species
UACGUAGGGUGCGAGCGUUAUCCGGAAUUAUUGGGCGUAAAGGGCGCGUAGGCGGCGCGGUAUGUCACCUGUGAAAUCUCCUGGCUCAACUGGGAGCUUGCAGGCGAAACUGCCGUGCUGGAGUGUGGGAGAGGUGCGUGGAAUUCCUGGUGUAGCGGUGAAAUGCGUAGAUAUCAGGAGGAACACCUGUGGCGAAAGCGGCGCACUGGACCACAACUGACGCUGAGGCGCGAAAGCUAGGGGAGCAAACAGG